rnacentral:rRNA from 1 species
UACGUAGGUGGCAAGCGUUGUUCGGAAUUAUUGGGCGUAAAGGGCGCGUAGGCGGUUUGCUAAGUCAGUUGUGAAAGCCCGGGGCUCAACCCCGGAGAGUCGGCUGAUACUGGUGGACUAGAGUACGGAAGAGGUAGCUGGAAUUCCCGGUGUAGCGGUGAAAUGCGUAGAUAUCAGGAGGAACACCGGUGGUGUAGACGGCUUUCUGGACCGUAACUGACGCUGAGACACGAAAGCGUGGGUAGCAAACAGG